UAGCUGGUCUGAGAGGACGAUCAGCCACACUGGAACUGAGACACGGUCCAGACACCUACGGGUGGCAGCAGUCGAGAAUCAUUCACAAUGGGGGCAACCCUGAUGGUGUGACGUCGCGUGGAGGAUGAAGGCCCUAGGGUUGUAAACUCCUGUCAUCAGAGAGUAAGGCAUGGGCGUUAAUAGCGUGCACGUUUGAUAGUAUCUGAAGAGGAAGGGACGGCUAACUUCGUGCCAGCAGCCGCGGUAAUACGAAGGUCCCAAGCGUUGUUCGGAAUCACUGGGCGUAAAGCGAGCGUAGGUGGUUCGGUAAGUCGGGUGUGAAAGGCAGGGGCUCAACUCCUGGACUGCACCUGAUACUGCCGUGACUGGAGUAGUGGAGGGGAAACCGGAAUUCUCGGUGUAGCAGUGAAAUGCGUAGAUAUCGAGAGGAAGACUCGUGGCGAAAGCGGGUUUCUGGACACUUACUGACGCUGAGGCUCGAAGGCCAGGGGAGCGAAAGGGAUUAGAUACCCCUGUAGUCCUGGCAGUAAACGGUGCGCGCUUGGUGUGGGAGGACUCGACCCCUUCCGUGCCGGAGCUAACGCGUUAAGCGCGCCGCCUGGGGAGUACGGUCGCAAGACUAAAACUCAAAGAAAUUGACGGGGACCCGCACAAGCGGUGGAGUAUGUGGCUUAAUUCGAUGCAACGCGAAGAACCUUACCUGGGCUUGACAUGCCGUCAUAGCCUGUGAAAGCAGGCGUCAGUUCGGCUGGACGUGCACAGGUGCUGCAUGGCCGUCGUCAGCUCGUGUCGUGAGAUGUUUGGUUAAGUCCAGCAACGAGCGCAACCCCUGCGUCUAGUUACCAGCACAUAAUGGUGGGGACUUUAGACGGACUGCCCAGAUCAACUGGGAGGAAGGUGGGGACGACGUCAGGUCAGUAUGGCCCUUAUGCCCAGGGCUGCACACGUACUACAAUGCCCGGCACAAUGAGAACCAAAACCGCGAGGUGGAGGAAAUCUACAAAACCGGGCUCAGUUCGGAUUGGAGGCUGCAACUCGCCUCCAUGAAGUUGGAAUCGCUAGAAUGGCGCAUCAGCAACGGCGCCGGAUACGUUCCCGGUCUUGUACACACCGCCCGUCACAUCAUGGAAGC
rnacentral:rRNA from 1 species